CUCACUCACCUACGUCAAAUGUAGUAUCUGUUCUUAUCAGUUUAAUAUUUUAUAUGUUCCCUGUCUGGGGACCACAUAUUUAAUGGAUUUUUGGAAGGAGAGCUUUC